CUGGCGGCGUGCUUAACACAUGCAAGUCGAACGGAAAGGCCCUGCUUUUGUGGGGUGCUCGAGUGGCGAACGGGUGAGUAACACGUGAGUAACCUGCCCUUGACUUUGGGAUAACUUCAGGAAACUGGGGCUAAUACCGGAUAGGAGCUCCUGCUGCAUGGUGGGGUUGGAAAGUUUCGGCGGUUGGGGAUGGACUCGCGGCUUAUCAGCUUGUUGGUGGGGUAGUGGCUUACCAAGGCUUUGACGGGUAGCCGGCCUGAGAGGGUGACCGGCCACAUUGGGACUGAGAUACGGCCCAGACUCCUACGGGAGGCAGCAGUGGGGAAUAUUGCACAAUGGGCGGAAGCCUGAUGCAGCAACGCCGCGUGCGGGAUGACGGCCUUCGGGUUGUAAACCGCUUUCGCCUGUGACGAAGCGUGAGUGACGGUAAUGGGUAAAGAAGCACCGGCUAACUACGUGCCAGCAGCCGCGGUGAUACGUAGGGUGCGAGCGUUGUCCGGAUUUAUUGGGCGUAAAGGGCUCGUAGGUGGUUGAUCGCGUCGGAAGUGUAAUCUUGGGGCUUAACCCUGAGCGUGCUUUCGAUACGGGUUGACUUGAGGAAGGUAGGGGAGAAUGGAAUUCCUGGUGGAGCGGUGGAAUGCGCAGAUAUCAGGAGGAACACCAGUGGCGAAGGCGGUUCUCUGGGCCUUUCCUGACGCUGAGGAGCGAAAGCGUGGGGAGCGAACAGGCUUAGAUACCCUGGUAGUCCACGCUGUAAACGGUGGGUACUAGGUGUGGGGUCCAUUCCACGGGUUCCGUGCCGUAGCUAACGCUUUAAGUACCCCGCCUGGGGAGUACGGCCGCAAGGCUAAAACUCAAAGGAAUUGACGGGGCCCCGCACAAGCGGCGGAGCAUGCGGAUUAAUUCGAUGCAACGCGUAGAACCUUACCUGGGUUUGACAUGGAUCGGGAGUGCUCAGAGAUGGGUGUGCCUCUUUUGGGGUCGGUUCACAGGUGGUGCAUGGCUGUCGUCAGCUCGUGUCGUGAGAUGUUGGGUUAAGUCCCGCAACGAGCGCAACCCUUGUUCACUGUUGCCAGCACGUUAUGGUGGGGACUCAGUGGAGACCGCCGGGGUCAACUCGGAGGAAGGUGGGGAUGACGUCAAGUCAUCAUGCCCCUUAUGUCCAGGGCUUCACGCAUGCUACAAUGGCUGGUACAGAGAGUGGCGAGCCUGUGAGGGUGAGCGAAUCUCGGAAAGCCGGUCUCAGUUCGGAUUGGGGUCUGCAACUCGACCUCAUGAAGUCGGAGUCGCUAGUAAUCGCAGAUCAGCAACGCUGCGGUGAAUACGUUCCCGGGGCUUGUACACACCGCCCGUCAAGUCAUGAAAGUUGGUAACACCCGAAGCCGGUGGCCUAACCGUUGUGGGGGAGCCGUCGAAGGUGGGACUGGUGAUU
rnacentral:rRNA from 1 species